UACAGAGGGUGCUAGCGUUGCUCGGAAUGACUGGGCGUAAAGGGCGCGUAGGCGGUUUUGACAGUCAGACGUGAAAUUCCUGGGCUCAACCUGGGGGCUGCGUUUGAUACGUCGGGACUGGAGUGCGGAAGAGGGUCGUGGAAUUCCCAGUGUAGAGGUGAAAUUCGUAGAUAUUGGGAAGAACACCGGUGGCGAAGGCGGCGACCUGGUCCGUGACUGACGCUGAGGCGCGAAAGCGUGGGGAGCAAACAGG
rnacentral:rRNA from 1 species